CCUGACCCGAUGGGCAGCGUGGACCCGUCCCUCAGGAGACCCCGGCCGCUUCCCCACAGGCCCCGCCCUCCCCGGGUCCCCGAGGGCGGGCUCAGCCUGGCACCCCCGCAAGUAGAAGAGAUCCCACCUCAUGACCAAGAGCGAGGGAGCUGAGCAAGAGACGCCCUGGCCUCUGUGGCCCCCUCGAGCCCUGCCACCCCCCCCGUGGCCUGAUCGUGGCACCGGCUGGCCUCCUCGAAGCGCGUGGAAUCAACGAGGCCCGCGUGGGCUGAGUUGUUGGCAGGGAGACUCCUCUGAGCCAGCUCGGCCUGUCACUGCCCGCAGCCAUGCCAAGCUGGGGCACAGUCAGCCCCCGGCCCAUGAGUUGUCUUGCUGGACAGGCUGCCUUGGUGCCCUGAGCCUCGGGCUGCCUGUACGACUCAGGCAGGAAUACCUCCCGGCAGAGGUGGGGGCUCCCAGGGCACCCCAGAGCACCCGUGGCUUCGGCGAGAGGGCCCGGGGUGAGGCAGCAGGGUUGUCAUCCGCUGGAGGGCAGGACCCCCCCCGCUGCCCCCGGGGCCCUCCGCCGCCUCUCCCUUGGCUGGAGCCCUGCAGGGUCCGGGUUCAUCUGCUCGUUACUUGGGUUUAUUGUGCUGGGUGCUGAGCGAGGGGAAGGGGCGGGUUGGGGCAGAGCCGGUCCCCUGCCCUAUGCAGCGUGGGGACCCCGGGCAGCCUCAGCUCCUCGUGGCCCGGGGCUUUGUCAUUCUCUCUGAGGCAGCCCGGAGGGCUUCCGUGGCUCAGGAACCCAGUGGUCACGUGGCUUUGGGGUCAGUUUCACAGGCGUGGGAAGGGCGUGGAGGUGACCGCUCUGAGGCCUGAGGGUCUGAGCAGCUCCAUGUGCGGUCCUGUGUCUGUUGGUACCUCACCAGGACAGGUGCCCACUGCCGGGGGGUAUUCUGGACCCCGGGGCUCCCUGCCGAGCUCCGAGGCAUCUCCUGGGACAGCGCCUGAGGGCUCGUGGGAAUGGCCACACCAUGGCAGGGGACGAAGCCGCAGCCCACCUUCCCUGCUGUGUGAUCUUAGGAACCCCCCUCGCCCCCCACUACUCAUUGUCAAAGGGCUUCCGUAUCUGACCCUGCCUCCCUCCCAGGCCCCAAAGAGCAGAAGGGGAAGCAGAGCUGGCCGAGAAGUGAUGAGGCCAGGGAGACAGAGAGGGAGGGAGGGAACGCGCCCCGCCCCGCGGCAGCCCUCCCCUCAUCCUGAGCGCAUCCCAUGUUGUUUCAUGUAAUUUUACCAAACCCUGAAAACCAAAGUUGAGGAUUUUCCUGUGUGCGUUAAGAAUCCAGUGUUGUCACUGCAGUGGCUCAGGUUGCUAUUGUGGUGUGGGUUUUUUUGUUCCUGGCCUGGGAACUUCCACAUGCUGUGGGCACAGCCAAAAAAAAAAUCUAGGUUGAGAGAAUGGCGGUGGGAACCCCAAGGUCACUGUCAGGCCUCGCUGAGCCUAGCUUUGCCCUUGCAUCUCUGGCCCCUAAAUCUACAUCCUACAGUCACCCUCCUGCCCCUUGCGUGACCCCAGAAAACCAGAGUGGGCACAAAACCACAUAGAUGCAGUGGCCUUCUGGCCCGUGGUGUCCCCAAGUGGUUCUGGAUGGCCCUGAGCUGCGCUGGGCCUUUCGGGUCUGAGGGCGGGGUGGGCUGGAGCCAGCAGGGUGCAGACGCAGGGCGUGUGCCCCACUCACCGGGGGCUCCUUCCCGAGACUUAAGCUUCUCUCUCUCCUCCCAGGUCUUGCCCUUCUUGCCGUCCACUUCGCCCCCAGCCGACGCCUGGAGCUUGAGGUGACUGAGCGCUCUCAGGUCUGUGCGCUUUUGAAUGUUGAAGAUCAGGCUCCCCACCCCCGCCCUCCCGGAAGGGAUGUACACACUCUGGUUACACGUGCACGUGUGCUCCUGUGCACACGCCUGCACGGCCUCUGGAGGACAGGAGCCGGGCGGGCCCUUCUCACACCGUUGCUUGGGCUCGGCUCUGUGCGCUGCCUCCGUGGCUCUGCCCUCCCGCCGGAGACGGGGCCUGUAGGGAGCCGGGCUGGCCCAGGCGUCUCCCCAGGGAGCCGGUCUCGACCGUCUUCUGGGCUCCCUCCUGCCGCAGGUGAAGUGAAGCCGCCUUUGCGAGGAGGCAGCUGUCACGGGUCCGAGCUGGGAGGACCCGUAACUCCCUGGCAUUUCCCAGCAUCUGUGGGGUCGGGCAGCGCUCAGGGGCUCAGCAAGUGAUGGGGUCUCAACCCGGCCCUCCCCCGAGAGCCAGCCUCACUGUGGCCUGUCGGGCACACUUGGCUGCUUCCAGCCUCCUGGGGAGUCAGUGCAGCCGUGAGGGUCAGACCCAGAGUGGCAUCCAUUCCCCUCCCCCACUCCUGCCAUGGCCAGGGGCAGGCCUGCCUCCCGGGGCUGGGCAGAGAGGACCUGGGAUCCCUCUGCCAUCGGGGCCUCUCAUGUUGGUAGGUCCAGCUUGCCCACCAGACUCCACAGACGCCACCCCGGGGCUUUUCUGUCUGCAUGCAGGGCCUGUGCCAGCUGGUGCCCAAGGGUGGGGUGGGACACUCUGGGGGCAGGAGGGCCUCCAAGGACUUCAGAGACGGAGGAGAGAGGGGGACACGAGAGGGGAAUAGCGGAGGGAAAGAACAGAGCAGAGGCAGAGAGAGCAGGGCCGGGAGAAGGGAGACGGCAGAGCCACCAGGACCCGCGCGCAGCUGUCCCUGGGGAGACGGCCUCGGGGGCGCUGCUCAAGGCCAUCUGUGCAGGUGCUCCCCUGGCACCCACUGUGAAGUCCCCAGUGUCCCCAGGACAGUGGUGGCCUCCUGGGUCCAGAAGAAACGCAGGGCAGCCCUCACACAGGCUCGGCCAGCAGAACGGCAGCUGGGACCAAGCCCAGGCCGCGAGGGCGAGACCUCGGGCAUGGGGAGGGGCCCCCGGGGAGCCUGGGCUGGUCUACCUGGGAGGCCGGAAGGCUCCCGGGCCAGGACGACGGGGCCGGGCGAAGCGGCCGCGGCCUGGGCCGCGUGGGGAGGGGCCUGGAGCGUACCCUGGGUGGAUGGAAGACGAGGCCUGUGCACACCGUCGGGGCUUACUCAGUGCUCGCCCAGCGCCACUCAUCGCCAGGGUGGCCAACAGCCCGGUCACUGCGAGGCUGAGCCCGUGCCCAGGGCCAGUGGGGAGGGCGCCUCCUCGCCGUGUGCACGGCCCUGUCGUUGCCACCGGGCUCGCCUCCUCCAUCCUGUUAAUCCAAAGCAGAGACGGGGCCCGGACAGCCCAGCUCCGGCCUCGCGUGUGGUGCUGGAGUUCUUCUGGGCUGUGGAAGCCCUUUGGGAUGCUGACUCGGGCUCAGGGGGCAUUGAAGGUUUGGGGGGACAGGGACUCACUUGGCAGAGUUUGCUUUCGAACCGACUCAUGAUUGGUCUCCUGUGGGUCUGCCCAGACUUGGCCCGGGUCAGGAGGGGUCUGGGCACCGGGCGGCACCCCCGACCUCCUCCCCGCACCGGGCGCCUCACCCACAGUCGGCAGCAGAUGGGACCGCGUGGACCCAGCCGGCGCCCAGGGCUGGCCAGUCUGCUGAAGGGCGUUGUCCGUGUUCCCCCUGGGGCCCUGCGGAUGGAGGCCGCCCCGGUCUUCAGGAGUCGGGGGGCAGGGGGGCUGCGGGUUCACAGGAAAUAGAGGCCUGGCCCCGCGCCCCACGGCAGGGCCACGUUGAGAAGCCGUGUCUGGGGCCAUGGCCUGGAGAAGGGGGCCCCACGGUGACGCCACGGCGAGACCCCUCUCCUCUGCGGAAGUGCCCACGGGGCUUAUCUGUCACCUGUGGACGAAGGGGCGGGAGGGUGUGUUCUAACGCGGCUGAUCCAGGGCUUCAUUUACCCGGGCCGGCCUUAAAUACCUCACACUCGAUGUUUUUGGCCUCGGAAAACAGCCGCAAAUACAGAGCGCUGGCCUUCGCUCCGCGCUCACCUGCUGGCUCCGAGGGCUGCUCUCUGGCUGGGAGCAGGUGACCCCCGAGCAGGAGGAGGACAUGAAACGCAGCCCCUCUGGGGACAAGGUGGGGGACCCACCCGGCAAGCCACACGUGGACGAGGUACUUCAGAUCCAUUCGCGGUUGUCAAGCAUUUUCUGUUCCUGUGGGCCGGGCCCUGAGCUGACGCCCUUCCCAAGCGGGUCAGGUGGGCAUCUGUCAGUGCCCCUCCCCUGUGUGGGCUCAGGCUCGGGGAGGUCACGGGGCCCGUCCCAGGCCACCAGGCUGGCGAGCCGCACAACAGGGGCCCCGCCCCAGCCUGCCCAGAGGUGGAAAGACCUGCGGGCUCCAGGAAGGGGCGGUUGUCCCCAAGGUGCCACAUGCUGAGAGGCAGCCUCCUGGGAGGAGCCCAGGGACAGGGCUUACAGCUCAGGUCCUGGCUGGAGUGGCGGCGGGUGGACCAGAGAGGUUACGAGGAGGCUUCCUGCUGCAGGAAGCCGAGAGCCCGCAGACCCGUGGCACUGGGGCUGCAGCCCCGUUCAGCCAUUUUUGCCCCCGCCUGACGGGGCUGGGUGCCCGCCUUCACCCGUCUGCCCUGCUGGAGGCCUCGUUCCCCAGAUGUUACUGAGCUGAAAGCUCAGCCCUCUCUGGCCCUGGGUGGGGAGAGCGCAGGCCCCAUGCUGUCCAGCGGCCUGACGUCCCUGCUGCAGCGGCCCUUCUCCAAGAACACUGCCCGCUCCGCCGGACCAGCUGGGGAGAACCGGGCAGCGGAGGCCCCUGGCUGUCCCCGUAAGGAAGGGAAAUUGAACAUCUCAGAUGUGAGGCUUUCUGGGGUCCCCAGUGCAGAGGGGUCUGUCCUAGGAGCUGUGUGACCUCAGGCAGGUAAAUGGCUUGGGUCUUCGCGCCCUCAUCCUAAACCACUGAAGGACGACAGGCCUGCAGUGACUGGGGGGCGCUGACGCAGCCUCUCUGCUCCACUCCUCGCCCGUGGACGGGGCUGCAGUGAGGACUGAUGGAGCCACCUGCCCAGGGAUGGGCUCAGGUUGGGGCUGGAACGCCAGGGCGGAGGGCGUGCUCUUGCCCAGCUUCCGACGGGGAACGUGGGCCCAGGACAUGGUACAUACAUUUGCGGGAACACUGGGCAGGCAGGGCUUCGAACCCAGGGCCCUAGAGCCGUGAAGCUUACUCUUCCCCAGUGAGCCCCCCUCCCCUGCCCCAAGGAGACACCACUCCUGGGAGGUGGCGAGGGCAGCUAUUUUCUUCACGCCUGGGGAGCCGUCGGCAUGAUGUGGUCAGACGAGCUACGGGGACGGUGGCUGCUGUCCUCUGUGCCACGCUGUGUCACCGAGACAGGCCCCCACCCCGGUAGAAAAGACGUGGGCUCCCUCCUGACUCACUCUUCUGUUCCGUGACACAGGCCAGCUCGGCCCUGGACCUGCUCGGCUCUGGACCUGCCCAUCUGCGUCAACGCACGAGGCCCCCGUGCCCCAGGUCAAGAAGUGGCGCCAAGGGGGGAGCUUCUGUCCGAGGCCAGCCUUCCUUCCGGUGAGCCGAGUGUUAGGAUGUUGGGCCCCCCCCCACCACUCACGGGGCGCCUCGCCACCUGCCGCACUCCUCCCAGCCCCGGCAGAACCCACCUCUUGCAGGAGACAGGCCGGCGAGGCUCGUGGUCACGCCUGCUGAAUACCCAGCUGGCUCUCACAGGGCAGCAUGGGUGACAGCUGGCACCACGGCCCGCCCCUCCCGCUGUCCCGCCUCUGGGAAGUGGGGAGCCAUGGCGGAGCUUAGGAUGCAGAGGGAGGCGGCCCCUCCCCAUCUCCAGGCCCUGCUGACACCCACAGAGGUCCUUAGAUGGGGUCUCGCUGCCAGACCUUUGCCCAAGCUGUGCCCCACCUGAUGCCAGCUCUCCUCAUCCUCCUGCCACGACUCGGCAAACCCCCCAGCUGACUUACCGCUGACUUACUGCCCGCCAUGUGCUUGUGACCUUUGACCUGCUGAAGGCGCGCUCUGCCCCCCACCCCCCAGGCUGGACUUGGCCUGCACGAGCCACGGUCUGUGUCGCAGGGUGUCUGGAUGGAAGAGCAGCACUGGGCCCCGUCUCCCUCUGCGCCGUGAGGACCCGCCGUUCCUGGCUCCCAGGCAGGUGCGCCUGCCCCCCCCAACCCCAGGCUCACCCUGCCCCCUUCUCUCCACCCGGCCGGGCGCCAGCCCUCGACCUGCUGCCAGCUGUCAACAUGCGACGCACACAGGUGAGUGUUACCCGGGGCAGGAAAGGCUGGAUGAGGAGAACCAGUGACAUCUGCUUCUCCCAGACGGGGCUGGGGGCACCGGGGGCUUGCGGUGACGGCCGGGGUGGCCCAGGGUGUGUGAGUGUACGUCUGUGUGCUAUUUCUCCCCCCGCCCCCGCCCCCUGCCUCUCCUGAUCCCAUGGGGCCCGGCCGGCCCGUGGGCUGGCCCUUUUCCGCAGGCCGUGGCCUCCCACUGGGGUCUGGGGUCGGCCCUGCAGGCUCCAGAGCUGAAGCCCUGGCCCAGGAGGGGUGGGCAGGUGCGGGGCGCAGGGCAGGACUGUCGGAGCCGAGUAGCGGCUCACACGUGGAUUCCAGCUCCAUGUCGGUUCUGGGGCCUGGCUGCUGUUCCCCCCAGGGAGCUGCGUGGACCCCACAUCUCAGGGAGGAAAUCCAGGCCCACAAGGGCGUAAGCAGAAGCACGGCGAGGAGGCCCGCCUGGCUUCGCAGCCAGCUCCACCUGCUGGGCGUCCUGCCCCGGGCCACCCCUGCCUGCUGGGCCCAUGGUCAGAACCCGUGUCCCUGCGGCCUGAGGCCAUUGGGGUCUUGGGGGCAAAGUCAGGAGUCAGGAGCCAGAGCAUGUGCUCAGGGCGCCUCCCCAGAGUCACUCAGACACACGGGGAGCCCUGGGCGGGGCGUCGGGUCCUUGGCUGCAGUGUCUUCCCCGUGACGAGGCCGAGCGGCCGCCCCUCCACAGACAGCCAGCAUGCUCCUGCCCGACCCCUCACCAUUACCGGGGCGGGGGUGGGCAGCAAAGGAAGACCCUCUGGGCCCUGAGGACGGACAGGGCGCCCGUGACCACAGGCCAGCCAGGUCCGGGGCCAGGCUGUGCUGGGGCGUUCCUGGGCUCAUACCCAGGUCCGGGCGGAUGGCGCUGGGUGGGCUCUGAUGUCAUCACGGGCUGACGGUUCUGGCUUUAUCUCAUGCUCCCCGGGGUUGUUCAGGGAGCAGCCGCGGCCGUGUUUGUCAGGACCGGACACCAGAGCUCCCUCUGCAGUCGUGGGUGAAGCCGAGCCCAGGAGAGCCCCUCGCCCCCGCCCUGACGGGGCCCCCUCCGAGCCUUGGUUUCCUCGUGUGAGGUGG